UAAAUCUUUGUGACACAAAUUAAAGUAAUGUGUUGAAUCCAAGUACGUUAAGUGAAUUUUUUCAACAAAAUGCCUUGUCAAAACGGAUAAAAAAUAAUAUUGUUAUUAGCAUUUCGGGAUAAUAGGCAAUUAAAAGUACGUAAGGCGCGGUGAAAACACUACACUAGACAUAGGGCUGGAAAAAAAUACCGAAAUCCCAAACCAUACCGAAACCAAAUUGAAAAAAUACCGAACCAAAAAUCCCGAAAAUUUUAGUACCGAAACCGAACCGAUCCCGAAUUGUUUGGUAUGAGAUUCGGUCUUACAAUUUGAAAUAUUCGGUAUUCCCGAUCCCGAACCGAACUUUAUUAAUAUUAUAUUGGGUAUAUUAUAUAUAUGUGUGUGUGUGUGUGUUGGAAUGUGUGUGUGUGUGUGUGUGUGUGUGUGUGUGUGUGUAUAUGUAUAUGUGUCAGUGUGUGUGUGUGUAUAUAUAUGUAUAUAUGUCAGUGUGUGUGUGGUGUGGUGCUGACAAACGUUGCAUCAAGCACAUGGGAAGGGAUGGGUCACGCAAGGCAAGGGUGUUUGCUUUCUGAAGACAGAGCCGUCUCUCUCUCUUCCCUAUUUUCUGUCUCAUCAGUCAUCUCUCUUGAUUAUCUCCCAGACUCCCUCUAUCUACAACCCAUAACCUAACCCUUCAUCUCUCUCUUAUUUUCUGUCUCGUCUCUCUCUACAACUCAUAACCUACCUAAUCCUUUAUCCCUCUCAUUUUUUCUGUCUCAUCUCUCUCGUAUUCUCUCUCUCUCACUCUCUCUACAACCCAGAAACCACCUAACCCUUCCUUCCACCCAAUCCAAAACCAAGCCAAACAUCCCUACUCACUCUCUCUCAUUUCAUUUCGCCUCUCAUCUGCCUUCACUCAGUCUCAGACUCUCCCUCUCUUUCUCGGAUUUGAAGCUCAGCAGCCACCCACCGUCUAGCAAUCUGACUCCGACGAACUAUCUCCACUCCGGCCACCACCACACCUCAUGGCUUCAUCCCCACCUCCGGUUCUCUCCAGUGAUUCUCUGUGUGUGUGGGAUUUCGAAUUGAGGUUAGGUUUUUGAAUUGGGGCUUAGGGUUUCGAAUUGGGGGCUCGGGUCAGGAGGAGGUCCCUCUCUUCACUUUGCUUCUUUCUCGACCAUAAAUCUUUCACUGAUUCACUAUCACUAUGUCUCUGAUUUCAAUUUGGAUUAAUGCAGGUUCGGAUGAUUUCAAUAUUAAUCUAAGACGAUUUGGAUUCUGAUGAUGUUCGGUUUCGGGAAAUUCCGAAAUACCGAAAAUAUUUCGGGAAUCCCGAAAUUUCGGUUCGGGAUCGGUCAUGAGAUUUACGUCCCGAAAAUUUUCGGUUCGGGAUUUGAUAUGCCAUUUUUGGUUCGGUAUCCCAUACCGAACCAGCCCUAACUAGACAUAUGAAUAAUGAUCCAUGUAGGGUCAUUCAAUUUAUUAGCAAAAGCAACCAUGUGGAUACAUGACCAUAUCUGGCCAUCGCAUUAGAC
rnacentral:lncRNA from 1 species